UUGAAUCGGUUUGUUUUUAUUUAAUCUAAGUAGAGUGGUUUGAAUCAGUUUAUUUUGUUGUUUAUAUCUUGUUUUUAUUUUUUCUCUGAUUCUUUUUUCUUUAUAUUAAUUUUUUCGAUUCUCUUUCUAAUUAUCAUUUUUUUAGGCAUCUUUCUUUCUUUCUUUUUUUCUAAUUAUCAUGUUAUAUAGACCGAAGUUUUAUUUAAAAAAGUUUCUUGUUUUGAGAUAAUUUAUUUUCUUUCUUGAUCUAAUGUUUUAUACUGUAUUUCCAUAUUCUUUGUUAUGUGUUUUAUUUUUUAUUUAGAAAUUGAGAUGAAAAAAAGUUAAUUCAUUUCCUUUCUAAUAUAAAUUUUUUUUAUACGGUAAAAAGUUAAAAUAUAAAAAUCUUUUUGAGGCGAAACGAUUAAACUGAUGAAUGGCCACCAAAUAAAGUUUAAUGUGAAAGUUGGAGUUUGAAAGACAAAAAUGUCAAUACUCUCUUUUAUUUUGAUUUUUGUUUUUUUCGUCCCUGUCACUUUUUUUAAGCUCAUUCCUUGAGAGUCAUAAAAUAAACAGUAUUAUUAACAUCUACCCAGAUAUUUGUUGUGUUGAGCAUUAAAUUUUGCUGCAAAUAGAAAAAACUGAUUUGUUAUAUAAUGAAGUUGAAGAUUAUAAAGAUAUGAUAGCAAUAAAGAAUAAAGCGGAAGAAUGAAUUUCACUAACAUGAAAAGAUGCAACUGAAGCAAACUGGUUUGUAGGCAUUCUUUCCAUUCAUUCUAGGAUGAAACACAACAAAAAGUUAAUAGUGAAAAAAUGCAUAAAAAACAAAUAAGCAGUAGUGUGUGAUUUCUACCUUUUAGUUUAUAGUUGUUGAAGUAGUCUCCUAAUUAUUUAUGCAUCAUUGUAGUUACUUAUGUACAAAUUUAUGUUUGUUGAGUAUUUCUUAUACUAUGAGAUCAUUUUCUAAUAAAUUCGGUUGCCUUACAAAAAAAAAAAUAAUGAUAUGAAGGACAUAAAAAAUAAAGGAGAUAUAUGAACAUGAAAAAU
rnacentral:lncRNA from 1 species